UACGGAGGGUGCAAGCGUUGUUCGGAAUUACUGGGCGUAAAGGGCGCGUAGGCGGUGCAGUAAGUCAGAUGUGAAAGCCCUGGGCUCAACCCAGGAAGUGCAUUUGAAACUGCUGUACUUGAGUAUGGGAGAGGAGAGUGGAAUUCCCAGUGUAGAGGUGAAAUUCGUAGAUAUUGGGAGGAACACCCGUGGCGAAGGCGACUCUCUGGACCAAUAUUGACGAUGAGGCGCGAAAGCGUGAGGAGCAAACAGG
rnacentral:rRNA from 1 species